UACGGAGGAUCCAAGCGUUAUCCGGAAUCAUUGGGUUUAAAGGGUCCGUAGGCGGUCUUGUAAGUCAGUGGUGAAAGCCCAUCGCUCAACGGUGGAACGGCCAUUGAUACUGCAGGACUUGAAUUAUUGGGAAGUAACUAGAAUAUGUAGUGUAGCGGUGAAAUGCAUAGAUAUUACUUAGAACACCAAUUGCGAAGGCAGGUUACUAAGCAACAACUGACGCUGAUGGACGAAAGCGUGGGGAGCGAACAGG
rnacentral:rRNA from 1 species